rnacentral:rRNA from 1 species
UACGAAGGGGGCUAGCGUUGCUCGGAAUCACUGGGCGUAAAGCGCACGUAGGCGGAUUGCUAAGUCAGGGGUGAAAUCCUGGAGCUCAACUCCAGAACUGCCUUUGAUACUGGAGAUCUUGAGUCCGGGAGAGGUGAGUGGAACUGCGAGUGUAGAGGUGAAAUUCGUAGAUAUUCGCAAGAACACCAGUGGCGAAGGCGGCUCACUGGCCCGGUACUGACGCUGAGGUGCGAAAGCGUGGGGAGCAAACAGGG